rnacentral:lncRNA from 1 species
AUUUUGAAACUGCACAAAUAAGAGUUAAUAUAUAGUCAAAGCUAGAUCAUAUUCUAAAAGAAUUAUUGGGAUUAUGGUAAAAUAUUUGAAAAUUUUAUGAUAAUUCAAAAAUUUAAUGUUUAAUUUUGUAUUAACCUGGAAUCAAAACUGUAAAUAUAAAAGCAAAUCUGAAAAAUUAUUAAAGCAUUGAAAUAUUCCAGAUUUCAUUUAGUAACAUAUCUUGAACUUAUAUUUAAUUAUAUACAGGGUGUCUCACAAAUGACCGAACAUAGAAGGGGGUUAAGGUCCGAAGGAUCGCUGUUUGCGCAGGUCCAUUGCGUGGUACGGGCGGGGCGAUGCUCUGCUGUGGGGAGGGAGGCAGGCGAUGCUUUCUUGCGUGGAGCGCAUCGCUUGUUUCGAUGUCGAUGCUGGCGAUGUGAUGAUCGAUAUCGAUGCUGGAUGUUUCAUGCGUUUGUUCGCACUUGCAUAGUUCGAGUGGACGCAUGAAGCAUCGCUGGCAUUGGUGUCGAU